rnacentral:rRNA from 1 species
GAUGAACGCUAGCUACAGGCUUAACACAUGCAAGUCGAGGGGUAACGAGAGGAAAGCUUGCUUUCCUUGUCGACGACCGGCGCACGGGUGAGUAACGCGUAUCCAACCUGCCCCCAACUAGGGAAUAACCUUGCGAAAGUAAGACUAAUACCCUAUAAUUUCCUCAGAUGUCAUCUGACGAGGAAUAAAGAUUUAUCGGUUGUGGAUGGGGAUGCGUCUGAUUAGCUUGUUGGCGGGGUAACGGCCCACCGAGGCAACGAUCAGUAGGGGUUUUGAGAGGAAGGUCCCCCACAUUGGAACUGAGACACGGUCCAAACUCCUACGGGAGGCAGCAGUGAGGAAUAUUGGUCAAUGGGCGGAAGCCUGAACCAGCCAAGUAGCGUGCAGGAUGACGGCCCUAUGGGUUGUAAACUGCUUUUAUACAGGAAUAAAGUUAGCCACGUGUGGUUAUUUGUAGGUACUGUAUGAAUAAGGACCGGCUAAUUCCGUGCCAGCCGCCGCGGUAA